rnacentral:rRNA from 1 species
UACGAAGGGGGCUAGCGUUGCUCGGAAUCACUGGGCGUAAAGGGCGCGUAGGCGGACGUUUUAAGUCAGAGGUGAAAGCCCAGGGCUCAACCCUGGAAUGGCCUUUGAUACUGGACGUCUCGAGACCGGAAGAGGUUGGUGGAACUGCGAGUGUAGAGGUGAAAUUCGUAGAUAUUCGCAAGAACACCAGUGGCGAAGGCGGCCAACUGGUCCGGUUCUGACGCUGAGGCGCGAAAGCGUGGGGAGCAAACAGG